UGAUAGUACCAGAAGAGGAAGAGACGGCUAACUCUGUGCCAGCAGCCGCGGUAAUACAGAGGUCUCAAGCGUUGUUCGGAUUCAUUGGGCGUAAAGGGUGCGUAGGCGGCGCGGUAAGUCGGAUGUGAAAUCUCGGGGCUUAACUCCGAAACUGCAUUCGAUACUGCCGUGCUUGAGGACUGGAGAGGAGACUGGAAUUUACGGUGUAGCGGUGAAAUGCGUAGAUAUCGUAAGGAAGACCAGUGGCGAAGGCGGGUCUCUGGACAGUUCCUGACGCUGAGGCACGAAGGCCAGGGGAGCAAACGGGAUUAGAUACCCCGGUAGUCCUGGCAGUAAACGGUGCACGUUUGGUGUGGGAGGAUUCGACCCCUUCUGCGCCGGAGCUAACGCGUUAAACGUGCCGCCAGGGGAGUACGGUCGCAAGAUUAAAACUCAAAGAAAUUGACGGGGGCCCGCACAAGCGGUGGAGUAUGUGGCUCAAUUCGAUGCAACGCAAAGAACCUUACCUGGCCUUGACAUGCAUCUCUAAGUUGGUGAAAGCCAGCGAGUUCCGAAAGGGACAAUUUGCACAGGUGCUGCAUGGCUGU
rnacentral:rRNA from 1 species